rnacentral:rRNA from 1 species
GAGUUUGAUCAUGGCUCAGAUUGAACGCUGGCGGCAGGCCUAACACAUGCAAGUCGAACGGUAACAGGAAACAGCUUGCUGUUUCGCUGACGAGUGGCGGACGGGUGCGUAAUGUCUGGGAAGCUGCCUGAUGGAGGGGGAUAACUACUGGAAACGGUAGCUAAUACCGCAUAACGUCGCAAGACCAAAGAGGGGGACCUUCGGGCCUCUUGCCAUCGGAUGUGCCCAGAUGGGAUUAGCUAGUAGGUGGGGUAACGGCUCACCUAGGCGACGAUCUCUAGCUGGUCUGAGAGGAUGACCAGCCACACUGGAACUGAGACACGGUCCAGACUCCUACGGGAGGCAGCAGUGGGGAAUAUUGCACAAUGGGCGCAAGCCUGAUGCAGCCAUGCCGCGUGUAUGAAGAAGGCCUUCGGGUUGUAAAGUACUUUCAGCGGGGAGGAAGGGAGUAAAGUUAAUACCUUUGCUCAUUGACGUUACCCGCAGAAGAAGCACCGGCUAACUCCGUGCCAGCAGCCGCGGUAAUACGGAGGGUGCAAGCGUUAAUCGGAAUUACUGGGCGUAAAGCGCACGCAGGCGGUUUGUUAAGUCAGAUGUGAAAUCCCCGGGCUCAACCUGGGAACUGCAUCUGAUACUGGCAAGCUUGAGUCUCGUAGAGGGGGGUAGAAUUCCAGGUGUAGCGGUGAAAUGCGUAGAGAUCUGGAGGAAUACCGGUGGCGAAGGCGGCCCCCUGGACGAAGACUGACGCUCAGGUGCGAAAGCGUGGGGAGCAAACAGGAUUAGAUACCCUGGUAGUCCACGCCGUAAACGAUGUCGACUUGGAGGUUGUGCCCUUGAGGCGUGGCUUCCGGAGCUAACGCGUUAAGUCGACCGCCUGGGGAGUACGGCCGCAAGGUUAAAACUCAAAUGAAUUGACGGGGGCCCGCACAAGCGGUGGAGCAUGUGGUUUAAUUCGAUGCAACGCGAAGAACCUUACCUGGUCUUGACAUCCACAGAACUUUCCAGAGAUGGAUUGGUGCCUUCGGGAACUGUGAGACAGGUGCUGCAUGGCUGUCGUCAGCUCGUGUUGUGAAAUGUUGGGUUAAGUCCCGCAACGAGCGCAACCCUUAUCCUUUGUUGCCAGCGGUCCGGCCGGGAACUCAAAGGAGACUGCCAGUGAUAAACUGGAGGAAGGUGGGGAUGACGUCAAGUCAUCAUGGCCCUUACGACCAGGGCUACACACGUGCUACAAUGGCGCAUACAAAGAGAAGCGACCUCGCGAGAGCAAGCGGACCUCAUAAAGUGCGUCGUAGUCCGGAUUGGAGUCUGCAACUCGACUCCAUGAAGUCGGAAUCGCUAGUAAUCGUGGAUCAGAAUGCCACGGUGAAUACGUUCCCGGGCCUUGUACACACCGCCCGUCACACCAUGGGAGUGGGUUGCAAAAGAAGUAGGUAGCUUAACCUUCGGGAGGGCGCUUACCACUUUGUGAUUCAUGACUGGGGUGAAGUCGUAACAAGGUAACCGUAGGGGAACCUGCGGUUGGAUCACC